UUUACUGGAUAUAACCUUGAUUCAUGGAAGAACUCUGUAACUCAAAGCAAAUAAGUUAUAAAGUAGGUAUGUGGUUUAUUUCGGCGCCGGGCGCAUGCGGGAUAGCUCCCACAGGCAUGCGCACCUUAACACAGCAACUUGCUUUGGUUAUAUGCAGUAAAAAGUUAUAUAUGCAUGAGGUUUCCCAAUACGCCUAUACAUAUUCAUAACCUAUCUCCGCUUUGUAUUAAAAUUAGCUCCAA